rnacentral:rRNA from 1 species
CCUACGGGAGACAGCAGUGAGGAAUAUUGGUCAAUGGCCGGAAGGCUGAACCAGCCAAGCCGCGUGAAGGACGAAGGUGCCAAGCAUUGUAAACUUCUUUUGUCAGGGGACAAAAUCAGGCGCGAGAGCCUGACCGAGGGUACUUGAAGAAAAAGCAUCGGCUAACUCAGUGCCAUCCGCCGCGGUAAUACGGAGGAUGCGAGCGUUAUCCGGAUUUAUGGGGUUAAAAGGGUGCGUCGGCGGACGGUUAUGUCAGCGGUAAAAUCCCGGGGCUCAACCCCGGCGAGCCGUUGAAACUGGCUGGCUUGAGAUGUCGAGAGGUAUGCGGAAUGCGCAGUGUAGCGGUGAAAUGCGUAGAGAUUGCGCAGAACUCCGAUUGCGAAGGCGGCAUACCGGCGGCGAUCUGACGCUGAGGCACGAAAGCGUGGGUAUCGAACAGGAUUAGAUACCCUUGUAGUC